GGGAGGGUCGUCUAAAUGGUUAAGACACUCAAGCCAAUUUCGUUAAGGCUUCGAGAGAUCCUGGGUUCGAAUCCCGGUCACCCCA
rfam:Chlamydomonas reinhardtii strain CC-503 cw92 mt+ CHLREscaffold_258 genomic scaffold, whole genome shotgun sequence.